rnacentral:misc_RNA from 1 species
GCAAACUUGGUCAUUUAGAGGAAGUAAAAGUCGUAACAAGGUUUCCGUAGGUACGUGGACACUAUUUCAAUAUAUUUCCUGCCCUUCCAACAAUUUUCUUGUGUGAAUUUUCUUACUAAUUAAAUUAAUAGGUGAACCUGCGGAAGGAUCAUUACCGAGAGUUGGGUUUCGACCCUCACCCUCAACCCUUUGCAUACCUGUUUUGUUGCUUUGGCGGGCCGACGGGGCUGCCCCCUCCCUUGAGGAGCGGGCCGUCCCGCCGUCGACCCAUGCGGCCGGUGCGCGCUCGCCAGAGGAUUUUCAAACUCUGUAUUAACGUCUGUCGAUUACGGGCCCUCAGGGUCUUAUGAAUUUAAUUCAUGUCAAAACUUUCAACAACGGAUCUCUUGGUUCUGGCAUCGAUGAAGAACGCAGC